AAUCUUCGUGAAAGCAGAGGCUUUCAGACUAAAACACCUUAUUGAAGAAAACGAUCAGGAGAAUGACCAGACUGGGUUAAGCUGACAAGAAGUCUAUACUAACUCAAAUAAGCACUCUCUACUUUACUCUUUAACCGUGACAACUGUGGUGCACAGAAAAGCAUUUCACAGCAGCCCAAAGGAUUCCUGGUCCGAUUGCUGGUCUUGGCUGACAGAAGUGAAACCUGGUGUGACCAAGACUGUUGAUGUUUGUGUGUUCUGAUAUGCAUUUCUGAUCAUCACAGUUGUAAAUAGAGAUUAUUCAGGAGAUCAGCAGGUUAUGAAAUAUGCAAACCAGCAUGUCUGGCACCAGUAUUCAUGCUACUAUCGAAGUCACCAAAUUCACGCUAUUUAUUGAUUCGUAUGCUUGAUUACCCAUCCAUUACCUCAGAACAAUGUCCCAAAGCAGCCUGACAGAAUAAAACAGA